CACCGCGGUUAUACGAGAGGCUCAAAUUGAUGAAAAACGGCGUAAAGCGUGGUUAAGAAAACAAGAGAUAUAUGGCCGAACAGCUUCAAAGCAGUUAUACGCAUUCGAAACCACGAAGAACACCCACGAAAGUUGCCCUAAAAAACUCUGAUUCCACGAAAACCAUAGAA
rnacentral:rRNA from 1 species